CAUCCCGAUGACCGCCCUAGAGAUAGGGUUUCCCUUCGGGGCAUCGGUGACAGGUGGUGCAUGGUUGUCGUCAGCUCGUGUCGUGAGAUGUUGGGUUAAGUCCCGCAACGAGCGCAACCCUUACGGUUAGUUGAUACAUUGAGUUGAUCACUCUAGCCGGACUGCCGUUGACAAAACGGAGGAAGGUGGGGACGACGUCAAAUCAUCAUGCCCCUUAUGACCUGGGCUACACACGUACUACAAUGGCAGUCAUACAGAGGGAAGCAAUAUGGUGACAUGGAGCAAACCCCUAAAAGCUGUCCCAGUUCAGAUUGCAGGCUGCAACCCGCCUGCAUGAAGUCGGAAUUGCUAGUAAUCGCGGAUCAGCAUGCCGCGGUGAAUACGUUCCCGGGCCUUGUACACACCGCCCGUCACACCAUGAGAGCCGGUAAUACCCGAAGUCCGUAGCCGAACCGCAAGGAGGGCGCGGCCGAAGGUAGGACUGGUAAUUAGGGUGAAGUCGUAACAAGAUAGCCGU
rnacentral:rRNA from 1 species